GGUAAGGCAACGGGUUUUGGUCCCGCUAUUCGGAGGUUCGAAUCCUUCCGUCCCA
rnacentral:tRNA from 42 species